rnacentral:rRNA from 1 species
ACUCAAAUGAAUUGACGGGGACCCGCACAAGCGGUGGAACAUGUGGUUUAAUUCGAGGCAACGCGAAGAACCUUACCAGGAUUUGACAUGCCCUCUAUGAGACCCCGAAAAGGGUCUCUUCACUUCGGGUGGGAGGUGCACAGGUGCUGCAUGGCUGUCGUCAGCUCGUGUCGUGAGAUGUUGGGUUAAGUCCCGCAACGAGCGCAACCCUCAUUCUCUGUUGCUAACAGGUCAAGCUGAGAACUCUGAGAAAACUGCCGGUGAUAAGCCGGAGGAAGGUGGGGAUGACGUCAAGUCCUCAUGGCCCUUACAUCCUGGGCUACACACGUGUUACAAUGGUGGUGACAAUGGGCCGCUACCCCGCGAGGGGAUGCUAAUCUCAAAAAGCCACCUCAGUUUGGAUUGUACUCUGCAACUCGAGUACAUGAAAUUGGAAUCGCUAGUAAUCGUAGAUCAGCAUGCUACGGUGAAUACGUUCCCGGGUCUUGCACACACCGCCCGU